GAUUGAACGCUGGCGGCAGGCCUAACGCAUGCAAGUCGAACGGUAACAGGAAGAAGCUUGCUUCUUUGCUGACGAGUGGCGGACGGGUGAGUAAUGUCUGGGAAACUGCCUGAUGGAGGGGGAUAACUACUGGAAACGGUAGCUAAUACCGCAUAACGUCGCAAGACCAAAGAGGGGGACCCUCGGGCCUCUUGCCAUCGGAUGUGCCCAGAUGGGAUUAGCUUGUUGGUGGGGUAACGGCUCACCAAGGCGACGAUCCCUAGCUGGUCUGAGAGGAUGACCAGCCACACUGGAACUGAGACACGGUCCAGACUCCUACGGGAGGCAGCAGUGGGGAAUAUUGCACAAUGGGCGCAAGCCUGAUGCAGCCAUGCCGCGUGUAUGAAGAAGGCCUUCGGGUUGUAAAGUACUUUCAGCGGGGAGGAAGGGAGUAAAGUUAAUACCUUUGCUCAUUGACGUUACCCGCAGAAGAAGCACCGGCUA
rnacentral:rRNA from 1 species